UACGUAGGUGGCGAGCGUUGUCCGGAUUUACUGGGCGUAAAGGGCGUGCAGGCGGUUUGUUAAGUGCAGAGUGAAAGCUCCCGGCUCAACUGGGAGAGGUCUUUGCAUACUGGCAAACUCGAGGGAGGCAGAGGAAAGUGGAAUUCCCGGUGUAGUGGUGAUAUGCGUAGAUAUCGGGAGGAACACCUGUGGCGAAGGCGGCUUUCUGGGCCGAUACUGACGCUGAGACGCGAAAGCGUGGGGAGCGAACAGG
rnacentral:rRNA from 1 species